GGCUGGAGAUCAGUGGUAGAAUGCUUGCCUAACAUGUAUGAGGCACUGGGUUCAAUUCUCAGCACCA
rnacentral:tRNA from 1 species